rnacentral:rRNA from 1 species
GAUGAACGCUGGCGGCGUGCUUAACACAUGCAAGUCGAACGAAGCACUUUAUUUGAUUUCCUUCGGGACUGAUUAUUUUGUGACUGAGUGGCGGACGGGUGAGUAACGCGUGGGUAACCUGCCUUGUACAGGGGGAUAACAGUUGGAAACGGCUGCUAAUACCGCAUAAGCGCACAGCAUCGCAUGAUGCAGUGUGAAAAACUCCGGUGGUAUAAGAUGGACCCGCGUUGGAUUAGCUAGUUGGUGAGGUAACGGCCCACCAAGGCGACGAUCCGUAGCCGACCUGAGAGGGUGACCGGCCACAUUGGGACUGAGACACGGCCCAAACUCCUACGGGAGGCAGCAGUGGGGAAUAUUGCACAAUGGGCGAAAGCCUGAUGCAGCGACGCCGCGUGAGCGAAGAAGUAUUUCGGUAUGUAAAGCUCUAUCAGCAGGGAAGAUAAUGACGGUACCUGACGAAGAAGCACCGGCUAAAUACGUG